CAUUUCUCAAGUAUGACUACUGGAUUCCUUUGUUGCCACUCAAAAAUGAACUGCUGUCAAACUGGGUUAAUGCUGCCAAUGGCAAGCUGGUUUUGGGCGCCAGAUGUGUUCUCUUCCAAUGAAGUUUAGGAUGUUGCCAUAUAAAGCUGCUCUUUUUACACUUCCUGAUAUUUCAUCAUUAUCCUCCUCACUUCAAAAUCAGGGAAAGAUACUCUGGUUGUUCCCUUCUUUGGACAUGUGACAAGUUUCGCUUCCUGGCCUUCUGAUGGUUACACUGGAUCCCGGGUCCAAUUCUGGCCAGUGAGAUAUGAUGGUGUCACUGAUGAGAAAUCCUCUAGCA
rnacentral:lncRNA from 1 species